AUUGAACGCUGGCGGCAGGCCUAACACAUGCAAGUCGCGCGAGCGGCGGACGGGUGAGUAAUGUAUGGGGACUGCCCGAUAGAGGGGGAUAACUACUGGAAACGGUAGCUAAUACCGCAUACUAUCGGAUAACCCAUAUGGGAUUAGCUAGUAGGUGAGGUAAUGGCUCACCUAGGCGACGAUCCCUAGCUGGUCUGAGAGGAUGAUCAGCCACACGGGGACUGAGACACGGCCCAGCGUCCUACGGAGGCAGCAGUGGGGAAUAUUGGACAAGGGGGGAAAGCCUGAUCCAGCCAUGCCGCGUGUAUGAUGAAGGCCUUAGGGUUGUAAAGUACUUUUAGCCGGGAGGCGGUAUCGACAGAAGAAGCACCGGCUAACUCCGUGCCAGCCGCCGCGGUAAUUC
rnacentral:rRNA from 1 species